rnacentral:ribozyme from 1 species
GUAGUUUUUAGUUUUUUAGUUUUUCUACUCUCUCUCUCUCUCCCCUUCUCUCUUUCGCCGAAAGAAGUUACUUAACCAGGAAAAAGCCUAUAAAGGCUUGCAAAUGAUGGAAGAAAGAGA